rnacentral:rRNA from 1 species
CAGAGGGUGCGAGCGUUGUCCGGAAUCACUGGGCGUAAAGGGCGCGUAGGUGGCGAUCCAAGUCCAUGGUGAAAGCUCGAUGCUCAACAUCGAGUCGGCCACGGAUACUGGGUUGCUUGAGCACUGUAGGGGCAGAUGGAAUUCCGGGUGUAGCGGUGGAAUGCGUAGAGAUCCGGAAGAACACCGGUGGCGAAGGCGGUCUGCUGGGCAGUUGCUGACACUGAGGCGCGACAGCGUGGGGAGCAAACAGGAUUAGAUACCCUGGUAGUCCACGCCGUAAACGAUGGGCACUAGAUGCUUGGGGGGAGCGACCCCCUGAGUGUCGUCGCUAACGCAGUAAGUGCCCCGCCUGGGGAGUACGGCCGCAAGGCUG